UCCACGUUAGCUCAGCAUUAAGGCUAAGUUUAUUCACUAUUUAUCUUAGCUGUGCUGUGACUACUCUCUUACACUAAAUAUCUUCUUGCUCUACAGAUGUUCCAGGACCUCACAUGGCUCAAAUACUGAGUUCAAACAGUUGUGGAAGCAGAGGAUCAUGGGAAGGAAAGAAAGAGAACAACAGAUGGAGUAAAUCAGAAGACAGCUUAAGCAGACAUGUUGAGGCCUUUUUCUUGCCUUAGAGAAGAAUGCAGCUGGAAUGAAGAGGAGAUUUACAGAGUGCAGAUGCUUUUGCAAAGCUAGACAGAAAAAGGUAAACAAGUCUCCUGCAUGAUACUACUUCACAUAUGCCCAAUAUACAGAUCAAAAAUAAAUUAUGGUCGCAGAGAAAAGGAAAGUAACAAGCAUGUCUAUUUUUGUGGGUUUAAAUUAAUAUAAACAAUUAUUAUGAAAAAUGCUGCUUUACCAGCCUCUGUAGGGGUGAAUUAAAAUAUGUUCUGCAGCCUACCCAUGAACUAGUUGUUCACUGCACUUGCAAACAAAGAGAACAUCAGCUCUUUCUGCAGUGUUUUUUUAUCUUAUUUUUUUAUUUUUUUAAGUGCUUUGGCUGGAAGUUUAUAAAAAGAGGAUUUUCUUUUUUUCAGCAGAGCAAUCUUGCUUACUAAAAGAAUGCAACAGACAUAUUCAAGAAUUGUCUAGUUUAGUCCAGAGUUUUGGGGCUGCUGUGAAAAUAAUUUAUUGCUUUCUAAUUUACAGUUUUCUUACUGGCAGUAUAAUAAACAGAUCUGGUCCAAAUAUUCAUCUUUCUCCUUACAUCCAGCAAGGAUGAGAGUAAUAGAGAUAUUGUAUUUUUCAUAAUUCAGACAAGUAUUUCAAUUUUUAAAGGCUAUUGCAACACUGCUAUGGAGAGUGAAUAU